rnacentral:rRNA from 1 species
AUUGAACGCUGGCGGCAAGCCUAACACAUGCAAGUCGAACGAGUGGCGGACGGGUGAGUAAUGUCUGGGAAACUGCCUGAUGGAGGGGGAUAACUACUGGAAAAGGUAGCUAAUACCGCAUACCAUCGGAUGUGCCCAGAUGGGAUUAGCUAGUAGGUGGGGUAACGGCUCACAUAGGAGACGCACCCUAGCUGGUCUGAGAGGAGGCCCAGCCAGACUGGAACUGAGACACGGUCCAGACUCCUACGGUCGGCAGCAAUGGGGAAUAUUGCACAAUGGGCGCAAGCCUGAUGCAGCCAUGCCGCGUGUAUGAAGAAGGCCUUCGGGUUGUAAAGUACUUUCAGCGGGGAGGCGUUACCCGCAGAAGAAGCACCGGCUAACUCCGUGCCAGCAGCCGCGGUAAUUC